UGUGCACUCCUUAUGAGAAUCUAAUGCCUGAUGUUCUGUCACUGUCUCCCAUCACCCUAGAUGGACAGUGUCGUUGCAGGAAAACAAGCUCAGAGAUCCCACUGAGUCUACAUUAUACUGGAUCUACCAUGAAAGACUUCUGAAUCCAGGAAGAGAGACUGACUGGGCAACAUGUUAUUCAGGAGAUGAGGUCUCACCCUGUCACCCAGGCUGGAGUACAGU